UUCUGGGACUGCUCAGAGCUCUGCAGGAGAGGCAAUCUGCUGAGACACGAUGUUCUAGUCCACACUGUCUUUUCUUGACAUCAAAUGCUUGCCUGACCUACACUCAUUGCUCCAGUGGGCUUUUGGAGCUCCUACUAGGCCAGCAAGAGGAAUGAGGGCACAUGACCACAGGACCCCAGAGUGCCAUUUUGACCCCCUUUUAAUUCUGAUAGCGCAAAAAACCAGCAUGACGAGGAAGAGCCUGGCAGACGGAUGGCAGCACGUCUCCACCCAGACAGGCCAUUGCCAGAUGCCUUUCCACUUAGAAAGGGACAGAAGGAGGAGCAAGGCCUGACAAGGUGGGCCGGCAUUAGGGAAGCAACAGGCCAGGAAGAGACUACAAAUUGGAUCCCUCCGGCCCGGGCUGCCUGCAGCCGGUUCUGACGCCUGAACUGACUGCCCCAUCAACAGCCAGCACAGGGGAGAGCUGGUGAAAGGUAGAUUUUCUCCAGUUUUUUGGAAGCAGGAAGAUUGUACAAUUAAUGGGCCGGGAGUGGAAGGCAGGACCUCAAACGCACACACAGGCUUUUUCUGGAGGCAAGCUGGACUUAGUUCCCUUUUCGGGCAUAUCCUUGGGGCCUAGAGAAGCAUAGAGCAUGGAGAAGCAAUUCAAUAAAUAUUUGCUGAAUGAAGAAUGAGGUUCCUUGCAUGAGAAGGAAACUUAAAAACUAAAAAAGCAUUGAUCAGCCAUAGGAUAUUGGUGUUAUUUCUGUUGGUGAUAAUCAGUUUCUCCUAGAAGACAAAUAGAAUAACCCCUGGCACAAUUUGCUUGUCAAAGAAUUCACUGCAAUCUUUUUCUUUUCUUCUUGUUCUUUUUUUUUUUUUUUUUUUUUUUAGUCAACUCCAAUGUCAUCAAACUGAGAAGUAAGAUUAGAAUACUUAACAAGUACACCUGGGUGGCUCAGCAGUUGAGCAUCUGCCUUUGGUUCAGGGCAUGAUCCUGGAGUCCUGGGAUCGAGUCCCACACUAGGCUCUGCACGGAGCCUGCUUCUCCCUCUGUCUAUGCCUCUGCCUCUGCCUCUCUCUCUGUGUUUCUCAUGACUAAUCCAAUAAAAUAUUAAAAAAAAAAAAAAGAAGAAGAAUACUUAACUGAUAGACUUCUAGAUUCACACACACUGGCUCUGCCAAUCACAGUGUAUGACCUCAGUGAAAUACCUUAUUCUUUGAAACCUCAGUUUCCACAUCUAUGAGAUGGAGGAUCAUAAUAUCUUAUUGAGUUCUUAUGAGACAACACAACUGAAUGCACAUGGAAUAUUCUAGCAACAUCUAAAUGUAUACUAAAAAAUAAAAUAAAAUAAAAAAAUAAAUGUAUACUAAGCAGCCAAGAAAUGGUUCAUAUCUGCCAAAACACAAGAUCUUGAGGAUACUCAUACUUCGUAUACUGGUACAACAAAACAAACAAACAAAAUCUGCUUCCCAAGACAUGUGAAUUUGGGUUUCAAAGCAACAAGAAAAUGCCAUAACUACCCUUCCACUGGAUGUCUAGUUACAUCCCCACUUCACUUCCCAUCUUCAUGAAUGCACGCCUUUUACUUCCACAUCGUGGGCAUUGCUCAGCACAGCAGAGUAGAGAGAGUGCUGGUUUUCCUUCUUCUCAGACCACCAAGGUUUGAAACUGAGAUCUGCCUAGCUGUAACCUUGAGCAAGGAACUUGGAUACUAUGAUCCUCAGCUUCUUUAUCCAUUCAAUAGAAAUCACAUGCAUCUCUCUCUCUCUCUCUCUCUCUCUUUCCCUCUCUGUCUCUCUUCCUGGAUGAGUCAAAGUGGAACAUAAUAGACAGGCAAACACAGUAUACAUUCCUAAUAAUAGAAGUACCUUCUAUUCCCUGCCCCACUCACUGGGUGUCACCUUAAGGAUUGUUCAGAAAUGCUUUUUCUCAUUUGUUAUUCAAUCAUCCAAUACUGAAUGAGGGCUUACCCCUGUGCCAGAGCCUGGGCUUAGAGGAAACAUGAGUUUAUAAGACAGAUGCAGUUUAUAGUCUGCAGGUUCCCAGGCAGAAGCAACCUCUACUCUGCCCUAGUGCCACAUUCCAAGAGGUCAGUUAGACCUGGGCUCCGUAGGAGCAGAGACCUAUAAUCCUUCCUCUUCUGUCCUAUCAUGGCUCUAAAACUGUAGGCAUUUGAAUUCCUACAGGGAGGAACUUUUGGUCCACUCCUCUUAAUCAUACAAAUGAACAAAGGCAAACUAUCUCCCUAGCUUCUGAGAGUUCAGGGUUCUUUAAAACGAUGAAAUCUGAUUCUAGGCCUUAAAGGCUAAUGAUACAAGAAGCUGGGCUGUAAUUAGACAGGACCCCAGUCUUGGGCAGCAUUAAAGGAACACCAGACUAAAUGUUCAUACUUGGAAAUAGU